GGGAGACAGGAAGUAGGAUGCAAGUAUUGUAGGAACUGCUCUAGCUGAGUGAAGGAUGGCAGCUUGAAGAGAAAUAACCUGAUGUGGUCCUGAAGUCGACUAACCUCUUGGACCAAAGGGGCAACAACACAAAACAAAUGGAAAGUAUGCAGUCUGGAAAAUGGCCUAGGGCACAAAGGAGAUAACGAGGAGAAGGAAUGCACCCAUCCUGCCAGAUGGGCAGCAAGAACACUCCAAGGCUGAGAUACCAACUUUGAUGACCAAACUGACCUUGGGCUGAGAUAAGCUGAAGAUGGAGAAGAACAACCACAAAAACAGAAGCUGGGUAUGGAAAAACCCCAAAGCACUAAAACAAAGGAUGCCAAUCCCUAUAAAAGAGAAUUUUGAGAACGCCAAGUUGGGUGAGUCUCUCUCUCAACUGCUGCUUCAUUGGAGCACAGACACGUCUGUUUCACCCCACACCAAGCUAUUAUCUACAGGAUCUUUCUAUCAAUCACCCUACCUGCUAUCUGCAUCUUCUCUCAAUAAGGUCUGGGCUGGCCACCCAGUGCCAUUAUUGAACAACUACUGCUGAUAACUAUAAUGUCUGAAUGGAACAGUUGUUUUGUGUUUGUGUGUGCCUCUGUAUAAGUUUUGUGCAUGAUGAUUUGUGUGUGUCUAUAUAAGUGGUGUGUCCGAACCUCUAUGUCUACUUCAUGUAAUCAAUA